AUUGAACGCUGGCGGCAUGCCUUACACAUGCAAGUCGAACGGCAGCAUGAUCUAGCUUGCUAGAUUGAUGGCGAGUGGCGAACGGGUGAGUAAUACAUCGGAACGUGCCCUGUAGUGGGGGAUAACUAGUCGAAAGAUUAGCUAAUACCGCAUACGACCUGAGGGUGAAAGUGGGGGACCGCAAGGCCUCAUGCUAUAGGAGCGGCCGAUGUCUGAUUAGCUAGUUGGUGAGGUAAAGGCCCACCAAGGCGACGAUCAGUAGCUGGUCUGAGAGGACGAUCAGCCACACUGGGACUGAGACACGGCCCAGACUCCUACGGGAGGCAGCAGUGGGGAAUUUUGGACAAUGGGCGAAAGCCUGAUCCAGCAAUGCCGCGUGUGUGAAGAAGGCCUUCGGGUUGUAAAGCACUUUUGUCCGGAAAGAAAUGGCUCUGGUUAAUACCUGGGGCCGAUGACGGUACCGGAAGAAUAAGGACCGGCUAACUACGUG
rnacentral:rRNA from 1 species